CGAUUGAGGUUCGCAUAUCAGCGAUUAAAAGGGAAUGGGGUGAAAAUCCCCGACUGUCCCGCAGCUGUAAGUUCCUUUAUCAUCCGCAAACAUUAUGGUCCACUGCUAAAGUUUUACACCUUAUUAUAUAUAAGGGGAGCAACAGCGGGAAGGAGUUUGCGGAUGGAACGAAGUCAGAAGACCUGCCUCAUGA
rnacentral:ncRNA from 1 species